UAAAAUGAUAAAAUAAAAUGAUAAGAUAAAAUAAAAUUAUGGUUUAUUGAUUUGUCUAGAAGUCUAGAAGUAAUGCACAACUCAGACAUAAAAUGUGUGCUUUGGGUCCCAAACAAGUAGCGUUUUAUUGGUUUUGAAUAAGUUACUUGAAUCCAUUUAAGUGUGGUGUACAAUUUCAAAGCUAUAGCUGACUAAAAUCUAACUGUACAGCUCACAAUGGGAGAAUAUUGGCUAGUGUAGGCAAGACCACAGGUUCAAACCUUAGGAAGUGGCAGAGGCAAUUUAUGCGGGCUGUGUGUGUGUGUGUGUGUGUGUUCGAUUAUCUAUUUUUGAUGUUUUUGGGAUGAGGUCUCCCUGUCUCCCCAUGUAGCCAGGGCAGGUAGUGACAUACUGCCGUGCUGCCUCAGCCACCUGAGCUGGGAUUAUAGGUCUGUACUUACUAUCUUACUUGGCUUGGCCUUUGUAAUCAAGACAAAUUCUGUCAUGAACGUCAGCCCCUCCCCCUUUUAAUAUCUAUAGCUUUAAAAACACACUCCCCCUGUGAAAAGAUAGGUGUUUGGGAAGAGAUUUAUAAAUAUGCCUUUUCUGGUAUUUAUUUUAAGAGUAUUUUUUCACCUCAUGACAGUCACUUGAGGCUCACAACGUUCCCACGGUAACCACUUUUGCCCCCUCCCUCCCCCUCAAAAAACCUGCUGGUUGCUGGCAAAUAUUAAAUCUUUUACCAUCCGCAACACCUUUGACUAGAGUUGGCUCCCCAUGUAAAGGGCUUCCUGUUCAGGCACAGGCCACGCCCAGCACCGUGAGACCCUACUCAGUGGACUGCUGGUUCUAGGGAGGAGAUGGAGAAGUGAGGACGCUAUGGGGGAACCUGACUCCGCCUACAUAUGACUAAUGGGCCGUUUGCAAUGUGCAUGAAAUUACAUUCUGAACAGCCGAGAGCAGCCAACGUGAGGCCUCUGCAGAGAGAAUUUGGCAUCCAUCUAUCACUUCCAUGUGAGACAAUCUGGAGGCUCUUGCAUUAUUCUCUGCUGUAACCAAGAAAACAAACAAAAGCCUUGCGCCGCCUCACUGAGCAACAGUCGGUCACUGGAAAGGAACUAGAACCAAGAGACCAUACCUUACAUUUUGUUCACGUGUUUCUGAAGCCCGGGUGCUCAUCGGGAGUCCACCAUUCGAUUAAAACUUAACCAAGUCAGCUCAGAGGUUGUGUAAUUAAAAGACUCUGCACACAGGCAGUCCCAUCUCCUGAUGUCUUAAGGGUUUUGAACAGAAUAAAGGGAUUCCAGGACAUUUUCUCAUCUUUGUCCUGUGUUUGCAGAGGCGUGUGUUUUCCUGAGAUGGAAAUCUAGGAGACAGCACAGUAGGAGAAAUCCUUCAUUUGUCCCCAUAGACAAUCUUCAAGGAGUGCUGGCCACCCACAUGCUAGGUGCUGUUCAUUCGCUAGGAUUUUUCCAAAUAAGAUUUGACAGGGCCCUCGCGCCCCUUCUCGGGAGGUAAAUGCAACAAUUGAAACAGAGAGGUUGAGUGACUUGUACAAUAUCACACAGCUGGUUACCGAGGACCACACUAUGUAAAAAUGACACCUAGAGUUCCUCUAGUUUUGUGGCUCAGGAGUCCCUGAGCAAAAUCCUACAGCAUAAAGGAGAGAGAUACUCAGGCUGAGGCAAAGGGAAAGGGGCCUCUUAAGGCACGGGCAGUGUUUCUAAGGGCGGUGAACAGUCUCCUUAGAGAUGUGUUGACAGGCUCCUAGCCUUAGCUGUCUAUCCUAUCCAGGCUUUCUUUGCUGUUAGGGUCACCUAUUCCCCAUCUCCACUGGGAUGACUACAGCCACAGGGAGAAGCCCCAGCUGCAGAGAAAGCCAGAGAAAGCCAGAGAAACCUGGCUGAUCUUCUCUCCUGGUACCAAGGCAGAAGAGGGAACCGUUCUCCUUCAAAUG
rnacentral:lncRNA from 1 species